CGACGGGAGACUUCCCGGGACUCAGCUUUUAACGCAGGGAGCAAUAAGCUGGAUUUCCGCUCAAAAGGCAGCAGAAAAGGAUGCAACUACUAGUCCUUCCAUCCAGAAGAAGAAGAAAAAAAUCUCAGUGGUGGCUGCUCAGCUGGAUAUUUGGACUUGCCAGAUUCCUGGUAGGGGAUGAUACUUCCUGGAUCAGUUCCCAUUCUACCCUCUGAAAAACCAUGAUGGAAAUGCUUUGGAUGCUGGGCAGGGAAGGAAGCAGAACUGAGGCAGAUACUUUGGAACACACUUCCAAAAUAUUAAGUUGAAACUGUCCUGGAGCUGUCAUGUCAACAAGGAUGAGAUAAUUAACAGCAGGUUAUCCACGUGAUGGCACAAAGACAAGAUCUAAGAGUGGUCUCAGAAAAAAAUCCUUCUCACUGGAAGGGAUCAGAGAGAGAUAAGCCUUCCUUGACUUCAUUCAGUUGGGGCUGACCUUGAUUGCACCAUUGUGAAUUCCUGGAUGUAAUAGCCUCCUAGUUGUCUUUGUAGUGUCUGGGAGGACAUAAAAAUUGUCUGUUUCCUGUCUGAUGAGAAUCAUGUGCUGCCAGCUUGUGCAGGUGACAAUUUUCCAGCUGUACCAUCCAGACACAGCCAAUGUGCGUAGAAUUUCUUUCAGAAAAGAGAAUGUGAGACCUAGCAUUUAUCUCAACAGAGAAUGAAGUUUUUUGUGGUUUAUUUAUUCAGUCGCUUCCAACUCUUCAUGACUUCAUGGACCAGCCCAAGCCAGAGCUUCCUGUCGGUCGUCAACACCCCCAGCUCCCCCAGGGAUGAGUCCGUCACCUCUAGAAUAUCAUCCAUCCACC